CCAGACUCCUACGGGAGGCAGCAGUGGGGAAUAUUGGACAAUGGGGGGAACCCUGAUCCAGCGACGCCGCGUGAGUGAAGAAGUAUUUCGGUAUGUAAAGCUCUAUCAGCAGGGAAGAAAGAAAUGACGGUACCUGACUAAGAAGCCCCGGCUAACUACGUGCCAGCAGCCGCGGUAAUACGUAGGGGGCAAGCGUUAUCCGGAUUUACUGGGUGUAAAGGGAGCGUAGACGGCAGUGCAAGUCCGGAGUGAAAGCCCGGGGCUCAACCCUGGGACUGCUCUGGAAACUGUAAAGCUGGAGUGCGGGAGGGGCAGGCGGAAUUCCUGGUGUAGCGGUGAAAUGCGUAGAUAUCAGGAGGAACACCGGCGGCGAAGGCGGCCUGCUGGACCGUAACUGACGUUGAGGCUCGAAAGCGUGGGGAGCAAACAGGAUUAGAUACCCCAGUA
rnacentral:rRNA from 1 species